UAAGGAAUAUUGGUCAAUGGACGCAAGUCUGAACCAGCCAUGCCGCGUGAAGGAUGAAGGUCCUCUGGAUUGUAAACUUCUUUUAUCUGGGACGAAAACGGGAUUUUUAUCUCAAUUGACGGUACCAGAGGAAUAAGCACCGGCUAACUCCGUGCCAGCAGCCGCGGUAAUACGGAAGGUGCGAGCGUUAUCCGGAUUUACUGGGUUUAAAGGGUGCGUAGGUGGGCUUAUAAGUCAGUGGUGAAAUCUCCGAGCUUAACUUGGAAACGGCCGUUGAUACUAUAGGUCUUGAAUUAUCUGGAGGUAAGCGGAAUAUGUCAUGUAGCGGUGAAAUGCUUAGAUAUGACAUAGAACACCAAUUGCGAAGGCAGCUUACUACAUAUAAAUUGACGCUGAGGCACGAAAGCGUGGGGAUCAAACA
rnacentral:rRNA from 1 species